rnacentral:lncRNA from 1 species
CCCGGACGCUGGUGGUGCGGUGCUCUUCCUCUCGUUAGCAUAGCAGUGCAGUAAGCCAGUGGCCAGUAGUAACCUUUGUUGGAGGAAGGCGAAGAUGCUGGAGAAGCUGUGGGACGACGUGGUGGCCGGGCCUCACCCGGAGACGGGGCUCGAGAAGCUCCGCAAGGCCGCCACCCCCCGCCCGAUCGUCAUCGACAAAGGUAGCGCGGUUUUCUACCACUAGUUGUUAUGGUAGCAGUUUGGAACAAAACUUAAUCAAGAUAUAUGAAGCACCAAUGCAAACUGAUCUGAUGUCUAACGACGGACUCUCUCAACUACUACAGAUCUGCUUAAAAGAAGGCUCAUGAAAUCAUGAUCUGCUUAAUUUGUUAAUACUUUCUCGAGGACCAAAAAUGGUUUAAAAGAAAAACUAAUUAACGGAGCAUCCUAGACAUGUUAAGCUGUACACGUAUGAUGAUGAUCUUGCGUUAAGAACUAACCCCUAAAAAAAACUUUGUUCUCAAGAUGCCGUUGCUGCUGCCGGGAGCUACAAGCGGACGCAGUCGAUGCCGUCGACCCCGACGACGCCGGGGACGCCGUCGUCGUCGACGACGCCGCGCGGCGGCAACAACGUGUGGCGCAGCGUGUUCCACCCCGGGAGCAACCUGGCCACCAAGAGCAUGGGCGCCAACCUCUUCGACCGCCCGCAGCCCAACUCCCCCACCGUCUACGACUGGUAAGCGCCGUCCAUGGUCUCAAUGCCCCGGCAUCUCUCUGCCGUCCUCGCCGUCCUUUGGUUUAUACUUCGUAUUAGUACUUAGCAGUAGGAUGAUCUCUACUUAGUAGUACUAUAUGGUUUGAUUGCUUACUAUAGUAGUACUAUGCUGAUCUGCCAAGGCUCAGAUCGAGCAGAGCAUCAAAGCAGGUGCCCUCUGAGACUUAGCUGAAUGAAUGAUUACUGUUUCUGUUUCAAACACCAGAAUAAGCAGGUCAACUAGCUAGUGAGCCAUGAGGUUAGCACUAAACUGAAUGGUUACUGUUUCUGUUUCAAGACCGACCCCCCCCCCCCCCCCCUAAGCAGAUGAACUAGGUAUUCAGUUAGCACUAAACAAAGGCAACUCAGGAGCCACUUAUAGCGCACCAUGAUUUGCUCACGUGGCAUGCUAAUCCAGAAGCACGAUCGACUAGUGCUACUGCUUGGUGUUUGCUGGAACGGAUAGGCCACUCUGGUCUCCGUUUCUCCAAUAUAAAACUAACCUGCGAAAAUGAUCGGUCAUGUCAUUUGAGCUUCAGCGUUAUCAUCACGAGUCAUGACCUGGGAUUGUUCUUUUUAUUUCAGGCUCUACAGCGACGAGACCAGGAGCAACCACCGUUAGAUCUCGGAUCGGGUUGGAUGAGAUCGACGGAGGAGCGGUGGCCGGUCCCUGUCAGGCCACAUGUUUGCUGGUCCUUGUGGUUAUCUAAAACGCAUGUACCACGGCUGCGUUGCUGUCCGAGGCUAAAGACUUUGCCUUUUAUUUAAUUUUGUCCUAUGUUAUGGACUAGGGAGUAAAAUGCUUACUACUACUGUCAGUUCCUCUGACUCGAUCAGCUUGGCCGCUGAGUGGUAGCGACCGGCGGGCCCUGUGAUGGGAACCCUUGUGCUUGGUGUGUAGUUGCUUCUCUGCAUCUGUAAAUAUGCUCGCGUGUAAUGGGAUAUGUCAAUCGUAUUGUUUCUUCCAUGUUUAGUUUCCAAACCUUUGACGUGUAAUCCUUCCGUCCCACGGAGACUCUGUUUAGUUUUCAAAAUUUGUUCC